rnacentral:rRNA from 1 species
AGCGAACGCUGGCGGCAGGCCUAACACAUGCAAGUCGAACGAACUCUUCGGAGUUCGUGCUGGACGGGUGAGGAACACGUGGGAACGUGCCUUUUGGUUCGGAAUAACUCAGGGAAACUUGUGCUAAUACCGAAUGUGCCCUUCGGGGGAAAGAUGUAUCGCGAUUCGAGCGGCCCGCGUCUGAUUCGCUAGUUGGUGAGGUAACGGCUCAUCAAGGCGACGAUCAGUAGCUGGUCUGAGAGGAAGACCAGCCACACCGGCACUGGGCAACGGCCCAGACUCUUACGGGAGGCAGCAGUGGGGAAUGUAGCGCAAUGGGGGAAAGCAUGACGCAGCCAGGCCGGGAGAAUGAUGAAGGUGUUAGGAUAGUAAAAUUCUUUCACCGGGGACGAUAAUGACGGUACCCGGAGAAGAAGCCCCGGCUAACUUCGUG